GACGAACGCUGGCGGCGUGCUUAACACAUGCAAGUCGUACGGUAAGGCCCUUUCGGGGGUACACGAGUGGCGAACGGGUGAGUAACACGUGAGUAACCUGCCCACAACUUUGGGAUAACGCUAGGAAACUGGUGCUAAUACUGGAUAUGUGCUCCUGCUGCAUGGUGGGGGUUGGAAAGCUCCGGCGGUUGUGGAUGGACUCGCGGCCUAUCAGCUUGUUGGUGGGGUAGUGGCCUACCAAGGCGGCGACGGGUAGCCGGCCUGAGGGGGUGACCGGCCACAUUGGGACUGAGAUACGGCCCAGACUCCUACGGGAGGCAGCAGUGGGGAAUAUUGCACAAUGGGCGCAAGCCUGAUGCAGCAACGCCGCGUGCGGGAUGACGGCCUUCGGGUUGUAAACCGCUUUCAGCAGGGACGAAGCUUUUUGUGACGGUACCUGCAGAAGAAGCACCGGCUAACUACGU
rnacentral:rRNA from 1 species